UUUCCGUAGGUGAACCUGCGGAAGGAUCAUUAUUGUAUAACCGAGGUGCGAGGGCUGUUGCCGACCCGAAAGGUCGUGCACGCCCGAGUGCCCUCACACACAUCCAUCUCACCCCUAUGUGCACCACCGCGUGGGUCCCCCUUUGGCUUGUUCGGAGGGGGGCUUACGUUUUCACACAAACUUUGUAUGCAGUGUAGAAUGUAUUUUUUGUUUUUGCGAUCACGCAAUCAAUACAACUUUCAACAACGGAUCUCUUGGCUCUC
rnacentral:misc_RNA from 1 species